UACGGAGGGUGCAAGCGUUAUCCGGAUUCACUGGGCUUAAAGGGCGCGUAGGAGGGUAGGUAAGUCAGUGGUGAAAUCUUCGAGCUUAACUCGGAAACUGCCGUUGAUACUAUCUAUCUUGAAUACCGUGGAGGUGAGCGGAAUAUGUCAUGUAGCGGUGAAAUGCUUAGAUAUGACAUAGAACACCAAUUGCGAAGGCAGCUCGCUACACGAAUAUUGACUCUGAGGCACGAAAGCGUGGGGAUCAAACAGG
rnacentral:rRNA from 1 species